CCUACGGGUGGCAGCAGUGAGGAAUAUUGGUCAAUGGACGAGAGUCUGAACCAGCCAAGUAGCGUGAAGGAUGACUGCCCUAUGGGUUGUAAACUUCUUUUAUAUGGGAAUAAAAUGUUCCACGUGUGGGAAUUUGUAUGUACCAUAUGAAUAAGGAUCGGCUAACUCCGUGCCAGCAGCCGCGGUAAUACGGAGGAUGCGAGCGUUAUCCGGAUUUAUUGGGUUUAAAGGGAGCGUAGGUGGUUUGUUAAGUCAGUUGUGAAAGUUUGCGGCUCAAACGUAAAAUUGCAGUUGAAACUGGCAGUCUUGAGUGCAGUAGAGGUAGGCGGAAUGCGUGGUGUAGCGGUGAAAUGCUUAGAUAUCACGAAGAACUCCGAUUGCGAAGGCAGCUCACUGGACUGCAACUGACACUGAGGCACGAAAGUGUGGGGAUCAAACAGGAUUAGAUACCCGAGUAGUC
rnacentral:rRNA from 1 species